rnacentral:rRNA from 1 species
UACGGAGGUUCCAAGCGUUGUUCGGAAUUACUGGGCGUAAAGGGAGCGCAGGCGGACAGGUCAGUUUAAAGUGGAAUCCCAGGGCUCAACCCUGGACGUGCUUUGGAUACUGCCUGUCUUGAGUUCGUGAGAGGAAAGUGGAAUUCAGGGUGUAGCGGUGAAAUGCUUAGAUAUCCUGAGGAACACCAGUGGCGAAAGCGACUUUCUGGCACGAAACUGACGCUGAGGCUCGAAAGCAUGGGUAGCGAACGGGAUUAGAUACCCCGGUAGUCCAUGCCGUAAACGUUGUGUACUAGGUGCAGGAGGUAUCGACCCCUUCUGUGCCGAAGCUAACGCAUUAAGUACACCGCCUGGGGAGUACGCGCGCAAGCGUGAA